rnacentral:rRNA from 1 species
GAAACGUACGGAACGUUAUUCGGAAUUACUGGGGCUUAAAGGGGGUGCGUAGGCUGCACGGAAAGUUGGGUGUGAAAGCCCUCAAGCUCAACUGAGGGAAAUUGCAUCCAAAACUGCCGUGCUUGAGGGAGACAGAGGUGAGCGGAACUCAAGGUGGAGCGGUGAAAUGCGUUGAUAUCUUGAGGAACACCGGUGGCGAAAGCGGCUCACUGGGUCUCUUCUGACGCUGAGGCACGAAAGCUAAGGUAGCAAACGGGAUUAGAUACCCCGGUAGUCUUAGCUGUAAACGAUGAGCACUUGAUUGGAGGGUCCUCCAUAGCCUUCCAGUCGUAGCGAAAGUGUUAAGUGCUCCGCCUGGGGAGUAUGGUCGCAAAGGCUGA